UUGACCGUUUUCACGUGUAGGUCCACUUUGCCCAAUCUGCUCCAUACGCUCCUCCCACCCGAUCCCCAUCCUCUCGUUCACAACCCUAGCCCCCUUCCUCUCGAUCCUCAUGGCCCAUCCCUCCUCCUUGCUCGUCACCGCCGCUGCCUGCUGCUCCCUCUCCACCACCGUUGCUGCUUAUUGAUCACAAUAUCCCCUCUACCUAAUUCAGAUCGGGCGCAGGUUAGGCGAGCCUGAUGGUGGGUUGGGUGAGGCUACAGGGAGAGGGAGGAGGCCGGCGGCGUGGUGAAGGAGUUGACUUGCCCUCAUGGAGGCGGCGCCAUCGGCCAGGGGCGUCAUUUGCUCGUCGGACACCGUCCGAGCUCGUCUCACCCUCACAGCAACGACCAACAACUCAAGUAGGAAGGGUGAGGGCCCAUCAAGAUCUAGCCCAGGGCGUGCUCCCUGGCGCCCGCACAUAGAGGACUGGCCUCUGGUCGCCGGUUGGUCCUCCUCUUCUCCCCUCGUGCCACCGGCCUCCACCUCCUCCAUCCCUCGAUUCAGCAAAGGCGACGGGGAUCAAGAACCGGGGCGGCACACAUCAUCCUCCCGUUUCUCCUACCACCGACCCUAGAGAUGGCAGCGGCAAGGAGUUGAGCCAGGUGACUCGAUGAGCUCCUGUUGAUGGCCUUGUUGUGGUUGCACCAUGGUCCGUGGGGAACAAGAACACCACUACUACAACCCAAGUCUGGACAUAGCUUUAGCAGGUUACAUUAUCAAAUUUGGAAGAAAAAAAUCCUAGCAAACCAGCUACAGCCUACAGGAUCUAGGAACAAAGGUAACCAAUCAUUAAGAAUAAGGGGAAAGAAAUGACAAGGCAUAAUAAACAUACACAAAAUUAUAAUCUAAUUAUUGAAAGCUGAACUACCAUUUUAGACAGGAUAACAAGCGUCUAAUUGGUCGAACAACACUGAAAGGGGCCUAACCAGCUUAAUGCAAGAAAUGUAAACUUUGUUGAGCCAUACAUAGUUACACAUUUUAAUGGCAGGAUCAUGGUUCAAGCAAAUAUGAAUCUAGUGGCCACUUCCCCUUGGCAAGCAGUCGAAAUAGACUCAUAUGGUUUUCCUUGACAUGUGUGUCAUCAUAGAUGAGUCAGUAAAGCAUGCUGCAGUCAGCUAGCCGCAAAUGAAGUAAAAAAUAAAUGUAAAAAAGACCAAAUAUGUAGUGUGCAACCAAAUAGAUGUACAAAUUAAAUACGCAGUCACAUAGAGAUGUCAUGAUCAACAGAUUUUUCUAACCAAUUAACAUCUCUCAUUAAUUGUGAGAACCAAGCCAAUGAAAAUGGGCAUGAAUCGGUCUUGUCAAAAGUCUACUAUUCAGUGCUUGCAUAUGUCAGAUUGCUGAUGUUCACAAAACUGCAUGUACCUUUUGCCAACAAAAUUGUCGAUGAAUUGCAGAUUUAGAAAAUUAGUUUGGCAUAGCUCAGAACUAUUUGCCUUGACUCAAAUCAAGGUUGUUCGAUAUCAUGAAAUAAGCAACAUGCCUCUUGUGAAACCAUAUUUUAAAUUUGCAAUUUGCAAACUGGGUUUUUGUUUCUCGCACUUUUUCUUUUAAAACAUCACCAGAACUUAGGGUCACAAUUAAUAGUAAGGUGCAAUCUCAGUCAUUAAGUGACAUACUUCAGUUUAGACUUUGCAGAGCAAGAGCUGUUUAUCAAUAUUUUCCGUUACAAUGCCUGCAUAUGUAUACAUAAGUUCUUAUGUUUUCAGAACACUCUAGCUAGGCUUAACUAUUUCUGUUGACAAAUCACAUUCUUAUCUUAAAAUACUAUAAGAAGGCUAGCCAACUUGGCCUCACAACGCUCCCCCAGUUUGGAGCUUCAUUUGCUGUUAGAUCUUGUUCAUUUUGGUCAACUGCGCUGGUUCAGCCGUUCGAUUCUUGCAUCUUGUUUUGACUUUGCGUUUGUUUUUCUUGGCCCAUGACUGGUGGGGCGUUUGGCGUUGCUAUUGGCUGGGUGAAGCGUUAUCUGGGUGCGAACUAACCUGUCCUUGCACGCCGCGCUGCGUGUGAUGCAUCGUUCGCGGUGGUUGCGAGGUGAUGGACUGACGCGUGCAUAUCUGUGGCUACCUUUGCGCACUAUGACUGGUGGACUAAGUUGGAUGUCGGUCCCAUUGGUCUGUGCCUUGUGAGAGAUGGGCUGCUUUUAUCAUGUGACUUUUUGUCCUGCGAGUGCGAAUGCGUCUCGUCUAGGGGAGAGAGAGGGAGAUGUGCUGCCGACACGGUCGUGCCUGCCUUUCUUCACUAUGACCGGUGGGACAAGUUGGAUGCUGGUCCUACACGUCGGUGGGUUGGCUUGAUUCUGUUCGUGUCGUUGAGCUUAUCUGGGGUUAGACAGAGAAACAUUCUUUUUAUUGUUUCCAGAGAUCAAGAUAUCGCAAACCAUUCAUGGGAUUCAAAGGGAUAUGCAACAUAUGUGGUGCCUUAUGCAAGCUAAGCCGGGUUAUUGAAGUAAUUGUUCUUCGGGUAUUUCUUUAAUUUUUCGUAAUAUGAUGUCGAGAUAACCAUGGUGACUCCUCUAUAGUGUUUGGUUUUCUUCGAAAUAUUUUCAUUUUGCCAAUUUCUUUUAUCGCUCAUUUUUUGGGAGUACUCAGCUGAUUUGUAUGACACCCUUAAUAAAGUUUUUUAAGACCUACAUUCAGUCAGUCAUCCAUUGGCACUUUAGUCCUGUGAAGUGCCUAUAUUAUUAGUCAAAAUCUCAUUCCGUCGCAAUACCACAUUAGCAUCAGUUCAAAGCUUGGUUUAGUCUUGAAUGUAACGUAUGUUUUUUAUCUUUAUAAUAUUUAUUAUGUUGCUAAUUUGCAGUGCUUAGUCGUCACAUGAACAUGAUGAACGUGAAUAGACAACGAAAGAACGGAAGAAGGGGAUAAAGUUCCUUGCGUCGAUGCAUGUACCCAUUCGGCCAGCCAUAUCGUCAUUCUUCCCCAAAGAUCUUAUCCAUAUAUAGGUCAGCAAAUAAGUGGAAAAGAUAGAAAGACAGAGCCUUGGUUAUGUUUUUGUUGGCAAAUAAUCUGGAAUAGUAGCAGUUAUGGCCAACAUGAUUUGUUAUGAUAUACUCCCUCCAUAAACAAAUAUAAGAGCGUUUAGAUCACUGAAGUAGUGAUCUAAAUGCGCUUAUAUUUAUUUACAGAGGAAUUACUUCAUAAUGCAGAGGAAGGUCGGGUUCUGGAAAUCGGAGUCAAUGGUGGACCAGAGAGGUGUUUGUGCAUCAUGCUUCUGUUUGAAAAAACUAUGAUCAUUGUUUCGUUAGGUGUCCUCUUCUUAGUUCAUGCUGCAGCUAGAAUAAAAUGCUUUGAUUUUCCUUUGUGCUCGGUGUUGGUAGUUAGCAGAGUACUGGAAAUAUAGACGCUCCAACAAAACCCACUAAAAAUGAUAGGGUACAUAAGUAACUUGCCUUAUCUAGCUCAUGCUUCGAGGAGCAGUUUGAAACUUCUGUUUCUGGUUUUUUGGGGAGAUAUUCUAGCUGAUUUAUUCUGGUCAUUCUUGCAUCAAUUUCGUUAAACCCACUUUGAUUUCUUCUAUCAUGAAUGCAAAUAUGCAUUUCCUCUAUAAAGAGCCUGCUACAGACUAGCUUUGGUCUAAUUGAUCGAUAAUGACUGUUAUUAGAGAAUUCCUUUUCGAUGGAAAGAGAAUGUUGUUUUGUUUUGUAUUUAGUUAUUGUAUUGGUGACCAUACAAUACAUACGUUACAAUAUCCCUUUUUGCAGCAUCGAAUUCCAUUUAGCAUGAAAAAGUAUUUUUUGUCAAAUAAAUGAUUUGCAUCAUGCGACCAUGUUCCUUUUUUAUGCAGUUUGCCAAUAGCCUAUGGUUGAGUACUCCCUAUGGUGUUGAUCUUCUAAUUCAUUAACCAGAUUAUUUUUUGCGCCUUCUGGUUGCAUAUCCACUUUAGUAAUAAACUUAUAGUAGUACUAUGUGUUGUUUGUUAUCUACCUCGAUGCCGUACUGAUUUCUAUUUUUUCACAAUUGCAGGCGCCAUAUUAGUGUUUCUUAUUAUCUACCUUGAUGCCAUACUAAUUUCUGUGAUUCCAAAAUUGCUGGCACCACUUCCUGUUGCCUGUUGGUGCAAGGACCCACGCCUUCCAUCUGAGAAAUGUAAAGGAUGGAUCAAUUGGCAUUGUCAGCUCAUGUUUAGUUCUUUGUCUCUCAGACGACAUGCAUCUCUCAACACAAUCCUAGGUUAAUGAACUGCUAAAGCUACAAUGUAGAUGCAUUAUGACUUUAUUUUCUAGGUACUAACUUCAGAUGUUCAAUUUGUUACCUGUACCAAUGUAUCCUUAGGAUAUUGACUUUAGAUAAACAAUCUGCUGCAUACUAAUGUAUAUUUUUACACAAGCUAUCCUCAAUGUUUGUUUCGCUUUGGCGUUCCCAACAUCACAUAGUAAUGCUUGCAGCUUCUUUGGGAAGGUGGCACUAAUACAUAUAUUCAACUUACUCAAGUUCAAAAACUGCUCCUCUUGACUUGUUUCAGCUUUGUGGGUGAGUGAAUGCAUGAUGAUGGCCGCUUGGUGUUCGCAUAAUACAAGGGAAGGAGCUGGUGAGCCAACUCUCAUGUACUUCACAUGAGCUGAAAGAGGCCAAGUGCUAAUCGCAAUGUAUGCUAAAUCUUAAGCAUUCAUCAGUAUUUUUGCUCUGGUCUAUGCCAGCUGACUCUCCCAUGUUGGUGUCGUAACUAUCAGAUGUUGUGUGUGUUUGAAACUUUAUGAAUUCUGGAAUUUUCUUUGUAAUGGUAUCGUGAAAUUAGUGUGGCUCUGUGUCAUUGUGUUUUGUAAUGUUUGCCUUUUAUUCAACAUUAGCCGAAGCAAGAGAUUCUGAAGAAGAGAGUCAUAGAUACUCUUUCCCCAUACCCGUCAUCAAAUUAGUGUGCAUCAAACUGAAGUAUUUGUGGUUUAUGUAA